ensembl:lncRNA
AAAAAAACACUCAAAAAGUAGUAUGGAGCCAGGUAGCAAUUGCAUUUUUAUUCAUUAAGAUGACCAAGCUUUGUGUGGUAGCAGGGUGUAACAACACUUGCUAUGCAAAUGUGAGUAUGCCUCUAUGGCCACGCAAAUGAAACACCUCCUAAAAAGUGAGAUAGAUUUGUGAGAAUGAGACGGGUGAAGUGGGCAACUACUCGUCAAUCUGAGGGGCACAUUUCAUCCUUGAGAACCUCCAUGGCUAUCAACAAUGGAAGGAGGGCUUCAGCAAAACGUUGCUUUUCAAAGUGAAUGCUGUCCACACCAACAAUGUGGCUUAUCAAGUACUGCAUCACAAACAUACAGCAGUGCCAGCAGAGACAGAGCAUUAUCAGGGCUUCACCAGGCAGAAUCUAUCCCUAAAAUUAAAAAAUUCCUGACCUAUCUGAGAUGACAAGACGACAGGAGAGAGAGAGCGAGCGUCGGAGAGAGAGAGAGUGGACGAGAGAGGGAGAGAGAGAGAAGACAGGAAUUUGAAAAGGAAAUAGGAGAGAAUCUUUACCAAGUUCGAUGGAUGGGUGAGUAAAAGUAAGCUGACACAUCCAAGGUGGACCAGCAAGCUGCCUAUUUCUGAACCAUGUAAAUGAAGUCUUGCCAAUCCACUCCUCUGUGAUCCCUCUCAAAAGUAGAGAGCUCCGUAAAGACUUUGAAAUGUUGAUUUAGUCUUGGGGUUUGAGUAUGGUGACUUCCCGCUGCACUGCACCUUAAAAUCAAAAUACAAUUGAUCUUAAGUUUUAUAUGUGCUUCAAAGUUGUGAAGGUUGCCUUUCUCCCCAAUUGUCAAAGAUGUCAAAGCUAAAUGUGAAACUCUGCCCUGCCACUGUUGUGUCAAGAGUCAGUCAGGACUAUCUUUUUGAAGUCCAUAACAUCAUAAGAGAUGGGACAAAAAAUACAUUGUUAUGAUUUGGGGCUGUUGUUUUGGAUAAUGUAUGAUGUAGAUUGUCCAAUUAAAUCAAGCAAUGACAUGGUGAAGAA